UGGCUUCACUACGGGCGCUGAACCUGGCAAAUAACUGUGAUACACCUCACUCCCUAUGACCACAUAGAGAGAGGGAUGUCUCAGUGUUUUGUCCAGGGGAAGCUGAGAUUGUACCGUGAUUACUCGAUCAAGUUAAUGCUUGCGUGGGAAAGUGCUGCCGCCUCGAA
rnacentral:ncRNA from 1 species